rnacentral:rRNA from 1 species
GACGAACGCUGGCGGCGUGCCUAAUACAUGCAAGUCGAACGCAGUGGGGACGGGUGAGUAACACGUGGGUAACCUCCCAUCAGAGGGGAUAACACUUGGAAACAGGUGCUAAACCGAUACUGAUGGAUGGACCCGCGGUGCAUUAGCUAGUGGGUGAGGUAACGGCUUACCUAGGCGACGAUCCCUAGCGGGUCUGAGAGGAUGAUCAGCCACACUGGGACUGAGACACGGCCCAGACUCCUACGGGAGGCAGCAGUGGGGAAUAUUGCACAAUGGGCGCAAGCCUGAUGCAGCCAUGCCGCGUGUAUGAAGAAGGCCUUCGGGUUGUAAAGUACUUUCAGUCGGGAGGCGUUACCGACAGAAGAAGCACCGGCUAACUCCGUGCCAGCCGCCGCGGUAAUAC